rnacentral:tRNA from 1 species
CGCGCUCGUAGCUCAAUUGGAUAGAGUGUUGCCCUCCGGAGGCAAAGGUUGUGGGUUCAAGUCCCGCCGAGCGCGCCAU